CCACACAACAUCCUUUAUCCAACUUCAGUAUAUUCAGACUCUGUUUCUCUCUCUCUGCAUUCUGAAAAAUUCACAUUUUCUCUCUCUUAGGGUUUUAACACUUUGAGAAUGGCGCAGGAGGCACAUGUAGUUUCCGGAGAAGUGUUCACGGCGGUGAAGUCGUGGCUGGUGGUGGAGGCUCCGAAGGCGAACGAAGCCGUGCAGUUCUACAAGGCGGCGUUCGGAGCUGAGGAGUUGAACCGAGUGAAUGAUCCGAAGAGGAAGGCGGAGCAGGAGCUGCCUCUCAUUCGCUCUGCUGAGCUCAAGAUUGGAUCCUCCAUUUUCGUUGUUUCUGACCUCUCCGACGACUCUCCCGUGAAAUCUGGUGUGAGCGGCGUUUUCUGCCUGGAGACCGAAGCAGUGGAAGCUGCCGUAGCAAAGGCGGUGGGCGCCGGCGCCGUUUCCGACGACCAAGUGGUGGAAGGUGAAGGCGCGUGCUGCGGUGGACGCGCGGGCAAGGUGAAGGACCCAUACGGCAGCGUUUGGCUAAUCUGCUCUCCUGCUAACAAGUGCGGUGGCGUGGCUGCUUAAAUUAGAUGCCGUCUACGCUCAUCUGAGCCGCUCUUUAAUCUGCUCUCCUUCACUCAGUGAAAUGGAGGGAGUACUAUGGUUGCGUGUAGGGAGAGAACGGUCUACCAAGUCAAGGACAACACGUGUCACCGAGACGGGGUAUUCGGGAAGGAUCUUCGGCUCCCAUUUGGUGUGUGCGAGUGGAUAUCUCGUGAAUUGAGUAUUUUGGGUCUCGUGAAUAUUAUGACACGUGAAAAUUACCUACUAGUAAUUCUUAAUUUUGUUACUAUGUUGGUUUAAUUUUUUUAUCUAACAAAAAAGUAAUAGUAAUAAUUGUGAAAAUAAAUAAAGUAGUGCAUUAUUCACUAUA